rnacentral:rRNA from 1 species
UACGUAGGGUGCGAGCGUUGUCCGGAAUUAUUGGGCGUAAAGAGCUCGUAGGCGGUGUGUCACGUCGGCCGUGAAAACCUGCAGCUUAACUGUGGGCGUGCGGUCGAUACGGGCAUCACUGGAGUUCGGCAGGGGAGACUGGAAUUCCUGGUGUAGCGGUGAAAUGCGUAGAUAUCAGGAGGAAUACCGGUGGCGAAAGCGACUCUCUGGACGGCAACUGACGCUGAGGCACGAAAGCGUGGGGAGCAAACAGG